CAAAAUAGUUAUUUAAAUUAUUGAAUGAACUAAUGAUAACAGAAACUUUGAAAAAAUUAUAUUGAUGUCCCUGUAUAUCAUAAAGUCCACCAAAUAUGACUCCAUCAAGUUUAGAUUAUAUAUGUUCACAUUUUUCACUGAUAUGAACUUAUUUUCCAACUAAGCAACCAUCUUAACUUGGCUAUUCUGUUAAAUGAACACAUGAUUCUGGGCCCUUUUCCUUUACUGUACAUAUAUUCCACCUUUGCUCUGGAGAAAGAAUGUCUGCAUUGGAGGGACACUUGGUGUGUUCUAAUGAGGCUGACUGUCUGAGAGCUGGUGGUUCUCACCCUGAGAGUUCCUCCUGUCACCCAGUGUGCUUCAGUCUAUGUGUUAGCCAGUUGGUGAAUGAGAUUUUGGACAAGUUCCAAGCCAUCGUUAAUUAUGUGCUUUCUCAAAGCUCAACUUUGGUCUUCAUGGAGGCCUUUUCUCUAUUUAGUAAGUGGUUUGUUUUGCUUUUCUGCACAUCUAACCUUAUUUACACUUUUCUUUCAUAAAAUAGAAACAUAAUCUAAUACCGGGGCAAAUUGCACAUUGCAUUAGAUUUGUUGAAAGGUUUUUAAAAGGCAAUGAGAUAACAUAUGUAGCAGCACUCUGAAAACUGUAAAGAAUCCUACAUCUGAAAGGAAUUUAUCAUUGUUUAUUGUCAUUCAUUUUACUUUUCAGAAAACACAUGGGAAUGUCAGACUUUUGAACCUUCAACAUGAGACAAUGGUGUAUUUUUUGGUGGAGUUUCAAUGGUCUUUUUGGUUUUUGCACAAGAUGAGUUGUUUGUGUAUAUGUAUAUAUGUGUGUUUUCUAGAGAUUUUCAGGGUUUUUUUUUUUUCUUUUCAUUUCUUUUACUUUGGUUUUGCUUUUUCAUACCUAUAGAGAAUAGACUUUAUGUUAAAGCUGAUACUUCAGCUCUUAAAAACGACAAGUCUGAGGGGCUUGGGGAGAUGGUUUUAGGAAAAAGAAAAAGCUGAGGAAAGUUAAAUAGUUCCCAAAGAGCAUUUUAUUUACUGAAAUAUAAUCCCAAGGGAAAUUGCUAUAAUGUAAAAAUCUCGGAAUAAUCUUGGUAUUAGAUACAUGUAAGCUACGGUCAGAGGGGCUAAGAAAUUGAUGAGCUGCAGAUAAUAUUAGUUGCUGUGUUUGAAGACAUUUCUUGGGUGAAUUCUGAAAUUGAGUCCUCUGUUGGAUAGAUACUUUGGCAGCCUCAGUAUUAUUGAUCCAUUAAAGACAAAGAAGAAAAUGUUCUGAUCGGUAUGCUAAGAGUUUCCUUCCUGGGGAAAGAAGGCAGUCUCAGGCUUCCUAACUUUUCAUUGCAAUUGUGAAGCCCACCUAGGAAGACAGGUUUGAAUUAUUAAAGAAACUGAGUUUUCUAGCCUUGAAGCAGAAUUUCCAAUAUUCUGCAAAUUUUAAAACAUCUUGUUUGGAAAUACAUGUUUUUUUCCAUCAUGUUGAGAGAAAGAAAGAAAGAUAAUUCACUCAGGAGUGAGAAGAGUCGGCCAUGACACUAAAAUUCAGUUGGAUGAAUUAAGGUGUAACUGGGUUUUAGUCACUUGUCUUAAAAAUUAGCGAUUUAUAAUUUGAAUAGCUGGCUUACUGUUUGACAUUAUGUCCCUUUCAAAAUAAUCUGUGGGGAAAAUUAAUGUUGUUACUAAUAUUUUAAAUCCUUUUAUCUGGUUAAACUGGUAUAAUAAUAAUUGCUUCCAGCUCAUACAAGAAACAUUUUUUUCCUUAAAGCAUCCUACUUUUGUAUUAUGUCAUGAAUUAAAUCUUUUUUAAACAAAAGAAAAAGCAUGGUAUAUGGCAUAGGGGAAUACAUGUUUCACUUUCUUCUCUCCUGGAUGACUCUCUAGCUAGUGGCUAAAGGUGAGGGUUUUAGAACAAUACAGGCUUGAGAUGAAUUCUGUCUUAACCAUUUUUUCUGUCAAACUCUGCCCAGCUCUUUAGCAGCAUCAAGUUACAGUUUCCCAAGCUGUGAAGUGGGAAUUAUACUAGAACCCAUCUUUUGAACUUGUUAUCAUAGUUGAAUCAGGAAAUGGAUGGUAAAUGUAGCAGGGUCCGGGAUACAAUAGAUAUUUUAAAUAUGUUAGCUACUCAUACUAUUCCAAUAACUCUAUGGAGGAUACAGUGAAAAAAAAGGUACACAUUUGUUUGACUCAAAUGCUAUGGGCUUUUGCUGCAUUAGUAAGAAAUAUCCAAAGUCAAACUUUUAUUUGUGUGAUGGCAAGUCUGUAAAUAUAUUUUGAUCCCGAUUUUUCUUGUUUUGGAAGUGAGACCUGGCAGCAUGAAAGUUCCAAGGGAAGUAGAAGUGUGACAAGGUCUUCUUUCUGCUUUGACUGAAGUGCUCAUUAGUGUCUGCUAAUGAGAAAAGAUUAGGUCAGAAGCCAGAAGAGUACACUUCUCAGGGUAAGAAAGGGAGAGGUCAAAAAGCCAAGGUCAGAAAUAAGAGAUCCAGGUCAGACCAUGACAUUGGAUAACCUAGUGUCAAGAAUCAGGUGGCCACAAGCAGAAGACAAUCUUACCUCUGCCCUUGGACCUAAACAGCCUGGCAUAAUUUUGCUGUUGCUUCCCUCUCCAAGCCCCUGAUAUACCUCUGUCCUGCUCAUUCACCACUCUCCAGGCAUCCAGAGCUGCUGCUUUCUCCUGGAAUAUCCCAGCCUUUCUUCAACCGGAGAUUUUUGUGUCUGACAUCUCUUUGUCUAUGCUUCAACACAGGGCUCUGGUUCUCAUCCUUCAUGUCUCAGCCCAAAUAUUACUUAAUAAGACAGGGCUUUGUUGACCAACAUAUGUUAUUUUGUCAUCUCUCCAUUGAUUAUUUUUAUAGCAUUUAUCACAUCUCCUAUUUUUUGUUUAUUGAUUUAAUCUCACUAUUAUGAUCUCUUUUGACCCUGUUAACAUGUGUCCUCCACAACAUUAAAGACUUUUUCUCUCUUGAUUGUAACUCUAUCCUCUGGAACCAGAAAAAAAGUGAGUAGCAGUUGGUGGGUGCCCUGUAAUAUUUUCUAACAAAUGAAUACAUCAUAGCUUUAUUAUCUUGUCACCAUCAUAGUUCAUGAUUUUCCUUUGUGCCUUGAGUUACUCAGUGUUUACUGAGGACUUACUAUGUGAAAGGAACUUACACCCUGGGAACAUACAGAUUAAGAAAGACUUGUUUCCUUCCCUCUGUGGCACAGCUAACAAAUAUGUUGCUGCUUGCCUUGGUGACUUCCUGGAUUGGUUCCUGGAGAAAGAUUCUGGGGCAGUGUCUCCACAGAGUAAAACAUGCCAGUGGCAUGGAAGAGAAGAGAGGAAAUGUUUCUGUCAUAGAUUUGCUGUCUUGCCUAAUUAGCAGAACCAGCAUAUUUUCAGAACAUCUUUCUUAUGGGAAAAAGUGGCUUUUUGUAAGUCCCACUUACAUCACCUCACCUUUAACCAUGGGGCAUUUUUGCACAGGCACAAAUCACUCAGCUCCUCCACCCCCAUGCCCUGUCCUCUUCCAACAGCUUACGGCCCCUUCACUUAGUGGCCAUCAUCCUUCGUAUCUCCACACAGGGGUCUCCUUCAGGGAUUUGUCACAGCUCUGACUACUUCUCCAUCUUUCCCUGACUAGGCUAAUUCUUCUGCCCUAUCUUUUCCUGGCUCCCUGGACUUCUCUUCAUAGUCCUUAGCAUCUUUGUCAUGUGCAUGGGUCUGUGUCCUUAGCAUCUUUGUCAUGUACAUGGGUCUGUGUCCUUAGCAUCUUUGUCAUGUGCAUGGGUCUGUGUCCUUAGCAUCUUUGUCAUGUACAUGGGUCUGUGUCCUUAGCAUCUUUGUCAUGUGCAUGGGUCUGUGUCCUUAGCAUCUUUGUCAUGUACAUGGGUCUGUGUCCUUAGCAUCUUUGUCAUGUGCAUGGGUCUGUGUCCUUAGCAUCUUUGUCAUGUACAUGGGUCUGUGUCCUUAGCAUCUUUGUCAUGUGCAUGGGUCUGUGUCCUUAGCAUCUUUGUCAUGUGCAUGGGUCUGUGUCCUUAGCAUCUUUGUCAUGUACAAGGGUCUGUGUCCUUUGUCAUGUACAUUAAUACUUGUCUCUCACACUGGACUAUGGCCUCCAUGAGGACAAGUCUUUGGUUUGCUCACUUUCCAGUACCAGCUACCUGAAAUUACACCAGAAACUUCUUGUUAAUCUAAUAUGCCAUAAUUUUUUAUUAACAUUGACUUUAAUGAUUUUGAUGCCUUCUCACUGCUAUGGUUUUGUGCUUGUAUCUAGAGGGGAUGGUUUCAUCAAGUAAAUACAUUUUAAAUCUACAACAGUGACAGAUAAUGAAACAGUGAGAGAACCGUGACCAUAGAUAUUUGUAUCACACAGAAACAGGUAGACAUCUUCUCGGCCUAACCAAAUCUCACCUCUUCUGCUUAACAUCGUCCGACUCCUUUUGCUGACAUUAUUCAUCAUGACGUCCAAGUUUCUCCUACAUCUGACACCAUGGAGAUUGUUGUCAAAACUCAGCCUCUGUCCGCUGGUGCCAAAUAGAAACCUGGAGACAGAGUUUUCGGCGAAGGAGGAAAAAAACAGCUUCACUGUUUUGCCAGGGAAAGGAGGCCACAACAGGCAAAUGCCCUAAAGACUGUACUCUUCCUUGGGAGAGAUGAGUUAUAGUUUGGGAAUAGAAAGAGGCUUUAUAGUUUGGGAAUGGAAAAUAGGGCAACAGAUUAGAUCAGGGCAGAUGCAAGCUUUCGUUCUUCUUCAUAGUUGGUGUUUAGUGGCCCCAGGACUGGUUCUGGUUGUCCUCCUGUCUGGUUUUCAUUUGUUGGGGGAUUUAGUUCAGCAGAAGAGCUCAAAAAUACUGUUCUAUGUAUCCCUUCAGGAGGAGCCAGGACCCUGCCCCAAGGCUGCACUAUUGUUUCUUGACUGUUCCUGCCUUGUCUCUUCAUCCCCUCCUUUCCUUGAUUAGCACCUGUUUGGUCCUGCCCUUUGGAACUCAGGAAAGGUCAGGGAGGCUGAAGCUUAUUUCCUAAAGGGAAGAAAUAGGGGACACAGAAAGGCCUGUGCCAGUGCCAAGGAGCCUUACAGGGUCCUGCUUGGCUUCAAGAUUAACAAUUAAAACAUUCCCUAUUCAGGUAGAAAAUACAGUGUAAACAGAUAUUUUCCUGACUCAGGCUGCCUUAUGUCCUCUCUCCCCCAAAUAUCUUAG
rnacentral:lncRNA from 1 species